rnacentral:tRNA from 1 species
AGCGUUGUAGUUUAGUUUAAAAUAUUUGAUUUACACUCAUUUGAUAUGUGUUACACAUUGGCGUUA